rnacentral:rRNA from 1 species
UACGAAGGGUGCAAACGUUGCUCGGAAUCAUUGGGCGUAAAGCGCACGUAGGCGGCCUCGCAAGUCUGAUGUGAAAUCCCUCGGCUCAACCGAGGACGUGCAUCGGAAACUGCGGGGCUUGAGGUACUGAAGAGGAUCGCGGAGUUCCCGGUCGUAGAGGUGAAAUUCGUAGAUAUCAGGAGGAACACCAAUGGCGAAGGCAGCUCGCUGGGACGUGACUGACGCUGAGACGCGAAAGCGUGGGGAGCAAACAGG